AGGAGAGCUCCCAUUACAACACUGGGAUAGUUUAUUUCUUUGCACAGAGAUGCCACAGAGCUCACAGCAGGCUCACACCUAUACUCAACAUUUCCAGGCAAACUCAAGGGGACUACACUCGUCAUGCAUUGCAGCUGGCAAGGAAUGAAGAGCAUGCAGAAGUUUACAGAUGGCUACAAAGGAGAACUUAAUAGGCACAUCAAACAGACAGACACAAACAAGACAGACUUUUGAACACACAAACCAGAGCCGGCUCAGGAGCCCUAAAGCCACAGUAUUCAGGAGUAUGAAUUCCUUGGAGCAGAGGUGUUUAACGGACAAG